rnacentral:misc_RNA from 1 species
AAAAGAGCAUUUUUCAAAUCCCCUUUCAUUGAAACAAAAGCAGCAAUCGACCAUCAACCCCAGAAUGAAGAAAAUAAAGUGUUGCAGCCUAUCCCAUCUAGAGACCCAGUUGCCAAAGUAACAUCUUAGACAAUUAAGCCAACAUUCCAACAACCUAUUGAACAUCUAAUUGCGACAGAAAAAGAAUAGGAACAUACAAUGCAAGAAUGGAGCACAAACAAUAAUGAUUAAAUAAAUACAUUGCAUAUGGAAUAGAAAUGCAAAAACAAAUGAACACACAAAAUCUACGCCCUUUUGAUACCAAUUAAACCAUGACUUGAUUUCAGUGAAAUGCAUAACCAGUUAACUACUAACAUCAAAGCUUAAGACGAACUAACGUGAUGGCUGUGAUCCAAAUCAAGAAAUCAAAAACCCAUUUUAUCUAAUGGAAUCAAAUACCCAUUUCAAACAAAGAAAUUAAG